GACGAACGCUGGCGGCGUGCUUAACACAUGCAAGUCGAACGGUGAAGGGAUCAGCUUGCUGGUUCUGGAUGAGUGGCGAACGGGUGAGUAACACGUGAGUAACCUGCCCCCUUCUUCUGGAUAACCGCAUGAAAGUGUGGCUAAUACGGGAUAUUCUGGGUCUGUCGCAUGGCGGGCCCGGGAAAGAUAUUGUUUCGGUGGGGGAUGGGCUCGCGGCCUAUCAGCUUGUUGGUGGGGUGAUGGCCUACCAAGGCGGUGACGGGUAGCCGGCCUGAGAGGGUGGACGGUCACACUGGGACUGAGACACGGCCCAGACUCCUACGGGAGGCAGCAGUGGGGAAUAUUGCACAAUGGGCGCAAGCCUGAUGCAGCGACGCCGCGUGAGGGAUGGAGGCCUUCGGGUUGUAAACCUCUUUCGCCAGUGAAGCAGGUCUGCUCCUUGUGGGUGGG
rnacentral:rRNA from 1 species